AAGGUAAAGAUUUCGAUGCAGAUCGCACGAAACAAUACGAAUGGAUAAGAGUGCAAAUGUUAGAGAUGUAUAGUGAUAUUCGUUAGAUAAAAGCUUUGCCCACCAAGAUUCUGUCCUUCCAUUUUGCCUCCAAGUUGACCUCCGCUUUUUGUUGUUUCUUUUUGCAAAGCACGCUCGUCUUCUUUUUCGAGCGAAACAACUUCUUGUAGCACACAAUAAUAUAGCCAUACAUUGUACCAUUUGAUGAUGGUUUAAUAUAUUGAUGACCAAAAAGCCGUAAAUUUGAAUGAAAACGAUCAAAAAAACAAAAAUAACUAAUACAAUAAUCGUUAUAAGUGCA